UUUCCGUAGGUGAACCUGCGGAAGGAUCAUUAUUGUAUAACCGAGGUGCGAGGGCUGUCGCUGACCCGAAAGGUCGUGCACGCCCGAGUGCCCUCACACACAUCCAUCUCACCCCUAUGGGCACCACCGCGUGGGUCCCACUGUGGCUUGUUCGGAGGGGGGCUUACGUUUUCACACAAACUUUGUAUGCAGUGUAGAAUGUAUUUUUUGUUUUUGCGAUCACGCAAUCAAUACAACUUUCAACAACGGAUCUCUUGGCUCUC
rnacentral:misc_RNA from 1 species